rnacentral:lncRNA from 1 species
UAUCAUGUAAAUAUAUAUGGCCUCAGUCAUUGUAAACCAAUAAUAUUUCUAUGUCAGGACGGAUCGUAUGAUAAAAAUGACACCAACUUUGGAACACAAUACACCUUAUUGCUAAUCCUGGCUGACCCGGCCUCUUGAACUUUUGAAGCAUACAACAAUCACUUUUCCAUUGUGGCGUCAGAUAUUUUGUUUUAUGACGUCAAAUUUUUACGGGAACCUGUGUGAUAUCCAGUAAUGGCAGACAAAUAGCGAUAAGGUGUAUUUAUACCAUAUCUAAAAAUUUAGCGCGCCGUUAUUUCCUCUCUGUAUCCAUAAUAAUGAAC